UACGGAGGGUGCAAGCGUUAAUCGGAAUUACUGGGCGUAAAGCGUGCGCAGGCGGUUUGUUAAGUCCGUUGUGAAAGCCCCGAGCUCAACUUGGGAAUUGCAGUGGAUACUGGCAGGCUGGAGUACGGUAGAGGAAGGUGGAAUUCCCGGUGUAGCAGUGAAAUGCGUAGAUAUCGGGAGGAACACCAGUGGCGAAGGCGACUAUCUGGGCUGAAACUGACGCUGAGGCGCGAAGGCUAGGGGAGCAAACAGG
rnacentral:rRNA from 1 species